GGCAGCUUUAUCGGUUAGAGAUUACCGUUCCCUCGUUUGCAUGGUCGCCAUUCUCACUCCUCCCAAACGGAAAGGGACAGAGGAGUGUCCUCUGUGUCGCUGGAAAGGACAUCAGCGGGAUGGCGGGAGAGGACAGGUGUUGUGAUUGGAUACGACGGGAUUGUGAUCAUCUGUCCAUCACAUCCUGUUGUUUUGAUGCUGAUGUCGUCUUUGAUGAGCUUCUGCAAUCUGCUCUGUGCUUCUGGUCCCUUCAAGGAACAGGGAAAAGUAAACUUGUCCCAGUUGGAGGUGCCCUGCUCACCCCUUGAGUGACCGCCGGGAUUUUCCGAAGGGACUCGCGGGAGCCAGGGGCUUCACCGCCGCCUCCGUCCCAUCUGUGUCGGCUCUCUGGGGCCCACGUCCCGUUGCAGAAUGGAGUGACUACAGGUUUCAUUCUAAUUAUCCAACUGAAGCCUCGCAGGGGGCAGUAUCGCACCACAGGCACGAUUUCAGUCUCGCAUCACAUUCCGGUGAAGAGGCUGAAAAGAGCAAUUCAUCCCCAGCAAGCGAAAAGAACGUCCACAGGUAUUCAGCACCAGGC